rnacentral:rRNA from 1 species
GGGUGAGUAACACGUGGAUAACCUACCUAUAAGACUGGGAUAACUUCGGGAAACCGGAGCUAAUACCGGAUAAUAUAUUGAACCGCAUGGUUCAAUAGUGAAAGACGGUUUUGCUGUCACUUAUAGAUGGAUCCGCGCCGCAUUAGCUAGUUGGUAAGGUAACGGCUUACCAAGGCAACGAUGCGUAGCCGACCUGAGAGGGUGAUUGGCCACACUGGAACUGAGACACGGUCCAG